AGGUGAUCUGCCUGCCUCCGCCUCUCGAAGUGUUGGGAUUACAGGCGUGAGCCACUGCACUUGACCAGUUCUGCUUUAAUUUUAAUUUUUGGUAAAAUAGUAAUAUUCUUUUUUUGUUUUUUGAGAUGGAGUUUUGCUCUUGUUACCCAGGCUGGAGUGCAAUGGUAUGAUCUUGGCUCACCGCAACCUCUGCCUCCCAGGAGAAUGGCAUGAACCCAGGAAGCGGAGCUUGCAGUGAGCCGAGAUCGUGCCACCUCACUCCAGUCUGGGCGACAGAGCGAGACUCUGUCUCAAAACAAAACAAAACAAAACAAAAAAAACAAACAAAAAUUAUAUAUGUAUAUUUUUUAAUGGGUAUUUUAUUUAAAUAAAAAUACUGAAUGUAGUUUAGCAUUUUCUUGAUGACUCAGGCUCAUUGUAAUGACAGAUUGCAUUGUUUUUUAUAAUAAUCAUUCUCUGCCAGUGUUUUUCAUUUUUGUGCCCUACUAAUUUGAUUCUAGGUCCUGAAACAGUCAUUUUCUCUGUUACUGUAUCUGUCAAUAAUAGCCACUCCUUCCCUUUCUAGUUUGGUUUAACUGCUGUGGGUUGAGAAUGUAGAUUAGCAGGUUUUUGUUUAUAAUUAAAUAUUACAUAAGAAUCUAUUUUUUCUGUAUGAACCAAAGAGUCAAGAUUAAGAUUUUAAUGUUGAAUACUGUAAUAUUUAUUUAGUUUGAAAUUUCAGAUAAAUGGGUUAUUUAUUGAAUCAGUUGCCACCUUAGAAAUAUGAAAUGAGUGUCAUCUGGGCAGCUGACCAGUUAGGUUUAUAGUAUAGAAUGUGCGUAAAACACAUUAGGUUAUAACUCCAGUCAUA
rnacentral:sRNA from 1 species